GCGAACUAAAAUUUACAGUAAGAGUAUCCAAAGCCUUAUUUGAUGAUUCAUUUAGGGUCUGUUUAACCAGACAAUGGCGAACUAAAUCAAUUAUCAAUUACUUAACCAGACACCUCCAUGUGUAUUCAUAUGGCUUCAAAUCCUACAAUAUCCCCCGUGAUAAUAAACAAUGAAAUUUAUAAGAUUUAAACCCAAAUAAGAAAAGUAACAGUAAAGUUCGAUCUGGAUACUAAAACACUCAACUGUGAAGAAGAAAAAGAAGAAGAAUAGGAAGGAAAUAAGUAACAGUAGCAUGAGCAGUAAAAGAAGAAGAGGAGAGCGUUAGUUAAAACUAUAAGUAGAUGAGAGAAGAGUCUCUGUGAGCAGCAGAAGAUGCUCUAAUGGCUUUGGCAGUAAAUUCANN
rnacentral:lncRNA from 1 species